rnacentral:rRNA from 1 species
UACGUAGGUGGCAAGCGUUGUCCGGAUUUACUGGGCGUAAAGAGCGCGCAGGCGGUCGGAUAAGUCGAAUGUGAAAGCCCCCGGCUCAACUGGGGAGGGUCAUUCGAUACUGUGUCUACGGAAGGCAGGAGAGGGAAGUGGAAUUCCCGGUGUAGUGGUGAAAUGCGUAGAUAUCGGGAGGAACACCAGUGGCGAAGGCGGCUUCCUGGCCUGUUCUUGACGCUGAGGCGCGAAAAGCUAGGGGGAGCAAACGGGGAU